rnacentral:rRNA from 1 species
UUAAGCGACUAAGCGUACACGGUGGAUGCCCUGGCAGUCAGAGGCGAUGAAGGACGUGCUAAUCUGCGAUAAGCGUCGGUAAGGUGAUAUGAACCGUUAUAACCGGCGAUUUCCGAAUGGGGAAACCCAGUGUGUUUCGACACACUAUCAUUAACUGAAUCCAUAGGUUAAUGAGGCGAACCGGGGGAACUGAAACAUCUAAGUACCCCGAGGAAAAGAAAUCAACCGAGAUUCCCCCAGUAGCGGCGAGCGAACGGGGAGCAGCCCAGAGCCUGAAUCAGUGUGUGUGUUAGUGGAAGCGUCUGGAAAGGCGCGCGAUACAGGGUGACAGCCCCGUACACAAAAAUGCACAUGCUGUGAGCUCGAUGAGUAGGGCGGGACACGUGGUAUCCUGUCUGAAUAUGGGGGGACCAUCCUCCAAGGCUAAAUACUCCUGACUGACCGAUAGUGAACCAGUACCGUGAGGGAAAGGCGAAAAGAACCCCGGCGAGGGGAGUGAAAAAGAACCUGAAACCGUGUACGUACAAGCAGUGGGAGCACGCUUAGGCGUGUGACUGCGUACCUUUUGUAUAAUGGGUCAGCGACUUAUAUUCUGUAGCAAGGUUAACCGAAUAGGGGAGCCGAAGGGAAACCGAGUCUUAACUGGGCGUUAAGUUGCAGGGUAUAGACCCGAAACCCGGUGAUCUAGCCAUGGGCAGGUUGAAGGUUGGGUAACACUAACUGGAGGACCGAACCGACUAAUGUUGAAAAAUUAGCGGAUGACUUGUGGCUGGGGGUGAAAGGCCAAUCAAACCGGGAGAUAGCUGGUUCUCCCCGAAAGCUAUUUAGGUAGCGCCUCGUGAAUUCAUCUCCGGGGGUAGAGCACUGUUUCGGCAAGGGGGUCAUCCCGACUUACCAACCCGAUGCAAACUGCGAAUACCGGAGAAUGUUAUCACGGGAGACACACGGCGGGUGCUAACGUCCGUCGUGAAGAGGGAAACAACCCAGACCGCCAGCUAAGGUCCCAAAGUCAUGGUUAAGUGGGAAACGAUGUGGGAAGGCCCAGACAGCCAGGAUGUUGGCUUAGAAGCAGCCAUCAUUUAAAGAAAGCGUAAUAGCUCACUGGUCGAGUCGGCCUGCGCGGAAGAUGUAACGGGGCUAAACCAUGCACCGAAGCUGCGGCAGCGACACUAUGUGUUGUUGGGUAGGGGAGCGUUCUGUAAGCCUGCGAAGGUGUGCUGUGAGGCAUGCUGGAGGUAUCAGAAGUGCGAAUGCUGACAUAAGUAACGAUAAAGCGGGUGAAAAGCCCGCUCGCCGGAAGACCAAGGGUUCCUGUCCAACGUUAAUCGGGGCAGGGUGAGUCGACCCCUAAGGCGAGGCCGAAAGGCGUAGUCGAUGGGAAACAGGUUAAUAUUCCUGUACUUGGUGUUACUGCGAAGGGGGGACGGAGAAGGCUAUGUUGGCCGGGCGACGGUUGUCCCGGUUUAAGCGUGUAGGCUGGUUUUCCAGGCAAAUCCGGAAAAUCAAGGCUGAGGCGUGAUGACGAGGCACUACGGUGCUGAAGCAACAAAUGCCCUGCUUCCAGGAAAAGCCUCUAAGCAUCAGGUAACAUCAAAUCGUACCCCAAACCGACACAGGUGGUCAGGUAGAGAAUACCAAGGCGCUUGAGAGAACUCGGGUGAAGGAACUAGGCAAAAUGGUGCCGUAACUUCGGGAGAAGGCACGCUGAUAUGUAGGUGAAGUCCCUUGCGGAUGGAGCUGAAAUCAGUCGAAGAUACCAGCUGGCUGCAACUGUUUAUUAAAAACACAGCACUGUGCAAACACGAAAGUGGACGUAUACGGUGUGACGCCUGCCCGGUGCCGGAAGGUUAAUUGAUGGGGUCAGCGCAAGCGAAGCUCUUGAUCGAAGCCCCGGUAAACGGCGGCCGUAACUAUAACGGUCCUAAGGUAGCGAAAUUCCUUGUCGGGUAAGUUCCGACCUGCACGAAUGGCGUAAUGAUGGCCAGGCUGUCUCCACCCGAGACUCAGUGAAAUUGAACUCGCUGUGAAGAUGCAGUGUACCCGCGGCAAGACGGAAAGACCCCGUGAACCUUUACUAUAGCUUGACACUGAACAUUGAGCCUUGAUGUGUAGGAUAGGUGGGAGGCUUUGAAGUGUGGACGCCAGUCUGCAUGGAGCCGACCUUGAAAUACCACCCUUUAAUGUUUGAUGUUCUAACGUUGACCCGUAAUCCGGGUUGCGGACAGUGUCUGGUGGGUAGUUUGACUGGGGCGGUCUCCUCCUAAAGAGUAACGGAGGAGCACGAAGGUUGGCUAAUCCUGGUCGGACAUCAGGAGGUUAGUGCAAUGGCAUAAGCCAGCUUGACUGCGAGCGUGACGGCGCGAGCAGGUGCGAAAGCAGGUCAUAGUGAUCCGGUGGUUCUGAAUGGAAGGGCCAUCGCUCAACGGAUAAAAGGUACUCCGGGGAUAACAGGCUGAUACCGCCCAAGAGUUCAUAUCGACGGCGGUGUUUGGCACCUCGAUGUCGGCUCAUCACAUCCUGGGGCUGAAGUAGGUCCCAAGGGUAUGGCUGUUCGCCAUUUAAAGUGGUACGCGAGCUGGGUUUAGAACGUCGUGAGACAGUUCGGUCCCUAUCUGCCGUGGGCGCUGGAGAACUGAGGGGGGCUGCUCCUAGUACGAGAGGACCGGAGUGGACGCAUCACUGGUGUUCGGGUUGUCAUGCCAAUGGCACUGCCCGGUAGCUAAAUGCGGAAGAGAUAAGUGCUGAAAGCAUCUAAGCACGAAACUUGCCCCGAGAUGAGUUCUCCCUGACUCCUUGAGAGUCCUGAAGGAACGUUGAAGACGACGACGUUGAUAGGCCGGGUGUGUAAGCGCAGCGAUGCGUUGAGCUAACCGGUACUAAUGAACCGUGAGGCUUAACCUU